rnacentral:lncRNA from 10 species
CCAAUAUUUGUAUCUUGGCUUCCAAAAUUCUGGAAAGCGCUAGUUCCUCAAGUUCCUAGGGUUAUUCAUUCUGGAGACUCUAGUAUACUCUGCAAGAAAACCUGUAGGCCAUCCACCAGAAUGCCCAAAUGGAGUCACUCUUAAAUAACAAGCCCUGCAUGUUUCCAGAAACUCUAUUUAUCAGUGACAAGUUUACUAUGGCAGCCAUUUCGCCACCCAGGACAGUUGGAGAAUGGCAGAUAUUAGGGACCAUUAACUCUGUAAAAUCUAUAGAAGACUGCAG